UGGCCUGCCUGUUUGUUUUAGCCAUUUUU
rnacentral:piRNA from 1 species